rnacentral:rRNA from 1 species
AGCGAACGCUGGCGGCAGGCUUAACACAUGCAAGUCGAGCGGGCGUAGCAAUACGUCAGCGGCAGACGGGUGAGUAACGCGUGGGAACGUACCUUUUGGUUCGGAACAACACAGGGAAACUUGUGCUAAUACCGGAUAAGCCCUUACGGGGAAAGAUUUAUCGCCGAAAGAUCGGCCCGCGUCUGAUUAGCUAGUUGGUGAGGUAAUGGCUCACCAAGGCGACGAUCAGUAGCUGGUCUGAGAGGAUGAUCAGCCACAUUGGGACUGAGACACGGCCCAAACUCCUACGGGAGGCAGCAGUGGGGAAUAUUGGACAAUGGGCGCAAGCCUGAUCCAGCCAUGCCGCGUGAGUGAUGAAGGCCCUAGGGUUGUAAAGCUCUUUUGUGCGGGAACAUAAUGUCGGUCC